rnacentral:lncRNA from 1 species
ACCUGAGAAUAUCCCUACUUGCUACGAAUACCCCGCCAAACAUGCUAGAUGAUUUACAAGGAAAGCACAGAACAUCACAAGAGCAACAUGUGGGGAGGGUGAGGUGGUUGCUGGAGGGGUGGAGGGCUGUUGGGACAGUUGGGGGGUUGGAGUUGGAUAGGGUGGUGGCGGUUAUUGGAGACAUGCAGCUUCCGCGGUUCGGGAGGGGCCUGCUGCGGAGGGGCCCGGCGUGUGCCGCCUCUCCUCAGGUCGGGCAGUGGUGUGCCGGUGGUGGAGGAUUUGCUCAGGGGUGUGCGGGAGGGUGACGGCGCCGGGCGCGGGUGCGGGUGGCGCUGGGUGGGGUGGUCCACGAGGCGGAGGCGGCCUGGGGGGCCAAAUGGUGCUGCCGUCUGUGAGACUGGCCUCAUUGGGGGAGCCACGAUCUGGGCACAUCG